rnacentral:rRNA from 1 species
CGGAGGGAUCAUUACAGAGUUGCAAAACUCCCACAAACCAUCGCGAAUCUUACCCGUACGGUUGCCUCGGCGCUGGCGGUCCGGAAAGGCCCUCGGGCCCUCCCGGAUCCUCGGGUCUCCCGCUCGCGGGAGGCUGCCCGCCGGAGUGCCGAAACUAAACUCUUGAUAUUUUAUGUCUCUCUGAGUAAACUUUUAAAUAAGUCAAAACUUUCAACAACGGAUCUCUUGGUUCUGGCAUCGAUGAAGAACGCAGCGAAAUGCGAUAAGUAAUGUGAAUUGCAGAAUUCAGUGAAUCAUCGAAUCUUUGAACGCACAUUGCGCUCGCCAGUAUUCUGGCGAGCAUGCCUGUUCGAGCGUCAUUUCAACCAUCAAGCUCUGCUUGCGUUGGGGAUCCGCGGCUGUCCGCGGUCCCUCAAAAUCAGUGGCGGGCUCGCUAGUCACACCGAGCGUAGUAACUCUACAUCGCUAUGGUCGUGCGGCGGGUUCUUGCCGUAAAACCCCCCAUUUCUAAGGUUGACCUCGGAUCAGGUAGGAAUACCCGCUGAACUUAAGCAUAU